rnacentral:ncRNA from 2 species
GCAAAACCACACGGGAGUGCACACCGAGUGCGCUGAGAGGACGGCUGGCCGGCCGUCGACCGUACGAACCUGACCGGGUAAUGCCGGCGUAGGGAGAUGAAGGAGUCCUCAU